UACGGAGGGUGCAAGCGUUAAUCGGAAUUACUGGGCGUAAAGCGUGCGUAGGCGGUUCGUUAAGUCUGUUGUGAAAGCCCCGGGCUCAACCUGGGAAUGGCAAUGGAUACUGGCGAGCUAGAGUGUGUCAGAGGAUGGUGGAAUUCCCGGUGUAGCGGUGAAAUGCGUAGAGAUCGGGAGGAACAUCAGUGGCGAAGGCGGCCAUCUGGGACACACUGACGCUGAGGCACGAAAGCGUGGGGAGCGAUCGG
rnacentral:rRNA from 1 species